UAUUUUCUUAUGGAAUGAUUGCUAAGCCAGCUGCCAAAGAGAAUUUAUUUCUCCUUAUAUAGCACCUAUACGGCCAGAAGAGAGGGCAAGAGAAAUAAGAUUUAAGUUACAAAAUACUUUUACAUUUGAGAAGGAGAGCAAACAAGGGUGGUGGUCUAGGUGUAUCAAGAGUGAAGAAUUUCUUGCAAGGAGAAGAGAAACUAUUUCAGAUGAAUUAGCAGAUGGUUCUGGACUUGCUUAGAAGAUGAGAGAUCUGUGGGGAAAAAGGAGACAUAGGGAAUUUCUAAAAUAAAUAUGUUUGAAAUUUCAAACUGUGUGGAAUUUUAAAUUUCAGAAGUUUAUGAACUGUGUGAAAUUUUAUUUUAGAAGACUUGUGUUGUAAUAAAGCACUUAAUAUUUUGUUGA